rnacentral:rRNA from 1 species
AACGAACGCUGGCGGCAUGCCUAAUACAUGCAAGUCGAACGAUCACUUCGGUGAUAGUGGCGCACGGGUGCGUAACGCGUGGGAAUCUGCCCUUGGGUUCGGAAUAACAGCGGGAAACUGCUGCUAAUACCGGAUGAUGACGUAAGUCCAAAGAUUUAUCUCCCAAGGAUGAGCCCGCGUAGGAUUAGCUAGUUGGUGGAGUAAAGGCCUACCAAGGCGGAGAUACUUAGCUCGUUUGAGAUGCUGAUCAGCCACACUGAGACUGAGACACGGCCCAGACUGCUGAGGUAGGCAACAUUAUGGAAUAUUGGACAAUAGGGAAAACCUUGAUCCAUCACUGCCGCGUGAGUGCUGAAGGCCUUAGGGUUGAAAAGCUCUUUUACCAGAGAUUAUAGUUACAGUAUCUUGGGAAUAAGCCCCGGCUAACUCCGUACCAGCAGCCGCCGUAACAC